UUGUGCCUCCCACGGUUCCCAGCUGCCUGCCACCAGCGGCAGACCAUCCCGGACGAGCCUGCCUGCAGAGGGACACCACCACCCUCCAUCUCCUGAGCCUUCCACAUCGGGUGCAGGAUUGGGCCGCCGAGGGUCCACUUCUUCCUCUCCCUCCCACUCAAAAAGAACCAGCUCCUCCUCCUCCCUGUCUGUUGGGCCCACGACAUCCACCGGUAGUGUACUCAAUGUUAACGGUCUUUGCAUGC